rnacentral:lncRNA from 1 species
UUGUGUUUUUCUCCCUUUUAAUAUAUUACUGUCAAGUAUUUUUGCCUCUGCCAUGGGCUAAGCCAACAGAAAUAAAUCCUUUAAUGUGAAGAAUUGCUCCAUCAAUUACUAUAUUAGCAACAGUUGUAAGAUGUAAAAGAUUUGUGUCUUUGUCUCAUGCCUUGUUUUCAACUUAAGGUAGAAUACUAAGUCUGAAUGCAGUUUUGUAAUACUCAUGCCUUGUUUUCACUUCAAACGAAUAUCUUUACCAUUAUAUAAAGGCCAGUCCAAAGUUAACCACAAAUUAACUACUUUUUGGUCGAACCUUUUUCUGGACAAAAUUACCCUUAGAAAUCUAAUUCUUUUUCAAAAUUUAAUCUAAAUUUAUUCCUAAGUUAUAGGAAAUUUAAAAACUAACUAUUUUUUAGCUGAACGUUUUUUGCUUCAAAUUUUCCCAUAACAAACUAAUACUUUUUCUCAAAAUUAAAUUUAAAAACAACUUAAAACAUAAAUACAACGAAAUACAAUAAAAAAAUGCGGAUAGACGAGCAGGGAGUGCUCACCUUUCCGCUAGUAAAGAUAGAAUACAAAGUCUGAAUGCAGUUUUGUACAGCAACCUGUUUAAAAGCUUUAUGUGCCAUUAUAUACUCUACUUAGUGACUAGAUAUUUAGUUUUUGUUUGUGGUAUAUGGAAAAACUAUUAGAAACCUAUGUUCUUUUUACAUGACUCUAAUAUAUAUUAAAUUAUGCUUUCUUCAUGGAUGAACAUUAUGCAUAUAGGUACAUAUUUAUUUUAGCAAAAUAUCCUUGCGAUUGAACAAUAUGCAAGUGAGUUGGUAUGAUCUUGCCCGACCAUGUGAUGUAUUAUUUUCUCAUUCAUUUGCUUAUGACGUAAUAGUUGAACUUGAAUAGGACUUGGUGUGUGUUUGGUUCCGCGGUCAUAAAAAUUGAUUUUGAUAGAAUUGAUUUUGAAUGAAUUGAUUCUGAUCAAAAGUGAGUUGAGUGAAAUUGAUUUGUGUUUGGAUACAUUAAUAUGAAAGUGAUUCUUAUCAAUGUAUGUUGUUUGGAUAGUUUGAAUCAAAAUUGAUUUUAAAUGUAUAAUUACCAAAAUGGGCGUCAUUAUAAUUAUAAGUAUUUAUAACUAGAUUUCAUUCCAAUUUUAUAUAAUUAUUCAAAUUUAAUUUGUUCAUUAAAUUUAAUAAUUUAUGACUGUAAAAAAAAUAGUUAUUUAUAAAAUUGUUUUGACAAAAUUAUUCAUAGAUUAUUUAAAUCAUAUAUUAUGGGUUGAUAUGAUAAAAACGUGAAAACCAUGAAUUUAAAUUAUUAAGAAACCCAUAAUAUAAAUUGGUAGGCUUUUACCAUGUACUAGGUCAAAAUAAAUAAGACUGGAGUUUAAUCGUAAAAAAAAUAUCAGCAAUUUUUUCUAAUUAGCAAGUUAUUGUUUAGUGCAAUUUAUGAUCAACUGGGAAAAAAACUAUUGCAGCUCCUAAAUAAUGUGCUGUGUGAAAAGGUAUAAAGGAAAGGAUAAAUAUGUAAAAAGAGAGCAUUCACUCAUAACAUAAUAAAAUUGUAAUCAAUUCCCACCGCUGUUUACAAAAGCUACUAAUACCAGCUUCAAUUGGAAUUGCUUUUAGAUGCCAGACUCAAUUUUAAAAAUGGCUACCCAAACACCAAUUUUUUAGCAAACUCACUUUUAAGAUAUUUAAACUCACGUUUACAGCUCCCCACCACGCAACCAAACGGAAUCUUAAUAGCUGAAAUUUAUUCAUUUUGUAAUACUUUGAUUGCGUGUAUUUGAUGUGCCUUAUAAAAUCUAAACUUUGGAUCCAGGAUUAACUGUUAAUUUUUUCUUUGGUCUUGUGCUAUAUUGUGAAACUUCGUUCUUGUUCUUAAUGCAUAUGAAUUAUUCAAAUAUUUAAAGUUUGUGCUUUAUGAAUGUGGUACAGAGGUUCAAACUGGCUUUUGUAGGUUCCUAGGAAUCGGUAUUGGGGUUUGCAUCCUCCCCCAGCCCCUCUUGAAGAUGUAGUCGAUGAUGGCUUGAUGACAAUCCAGAGGGCAUCUUUCCUAAGAAAAGCAGGGGUAGAAACAAUAGUAGAUAAUGAUCAUUUUCUCAAUCCACCGAAUAGAGCUGAUUUGUUGGAGUCAGCAAUAAAAAACAUUAGCAGGUUUAUAUUCCUUUAUAUUUUACUUGAAAGAAAGAUAAAAUAUGUAUUUUUUUUUUUGUUUGAUAUGGAAAAAUAGAGCAGUCCUUUAUUAUAGAAGCGAUAUGACAUGAAUCUUGGGUAGCGUAACUACUUAUCUACAUCCCAAAAGAUUAGAAAUUACAUUUAUUUUAUCUUAUCACUAGUACCAUUAUCUACAUUUAUCCUGUUCAAAGUCCUAUUAUCCAGGACAUAGGAUUUGAAAUCUCUUUUGGUUCUUACGAUACUCCUGCAAGCUGGCUGGAAAUGUCUCCCAUAGACAGCUUGUUGAUAAAAUCAAUGAAGUACCUCUUGGAUGUGCCGUUGGUGAGAAUGUCUGCAACAUGAUUUGUUGUAAUGACAUUAUGGAACUCACCAUUUUUUAUCUUCUCUUCACUAGAGUGUUAAUCUAUUUCAAUGUGCUUGGCUCUGUCAAUGAAAACAUAACUGUGAGCUAUGCAUGUUGUCUACUUGUUGUUUUAGUAUAGGUGUCAAUUUUCCUAACAGUAAUUCUUUUGUAGUCUUUCGAUCUACAUAUAAUCUCACACAUUUCGCAGGCCCUUGAUUUAAAUUAUGCUUUAGCAUGUCUCCUUGCCAACCAAAUUUUGUUUCUUAGUUUGCCAUGUAACUAGGUUCGUUUUGUGGAGGGUUAGGUAGCUUAACUGGUUUGAGCUAAGGGUUGAAGGACCUAGGUUCAAACAAUGGUAUUGGUGAAGGAGGAAACACCAACCUAACAACUAAUUACUAACUUUUGCCUAAAAAAAAACAAGGUUUCUUUUGACAAAUGUACAAUAACCACCAGCUGAUCUUCUGUUCAUGGUAUUCCCAGUCCAACCUGCAUUGAUGUAGGCGUGCAUUUUUGCUGCUAUCCAUGUUUUUUAUGUUGUAAGUUUGUAAUCAUCUUCUUGGUGAACAACCUUUAUUGAUGAAUACUAUGUACAGGUAUUUGGAGGCCUGUCGAGAGAAAAAAUUAACACAGUCAGUCAGCGAGGGGGUUGACACUCUAUUAAUGUAUCUCUAUAGAGCUCUAAAUCGUGUUGAGGACAUGGAGAGGUUGGCAUCUUCAACGAACUGGUGUGUUGUGGUAUGUGCAGAUUAUUGUUAUUGUGGAUUCACAUUAUUCAAGACAUGCAAACUGUUAUGUUUCACAUUUAUUAUAUUGAUGUCAAUUUUAUAUAUUAGUUAUUUGAUUGAAGAGAUUUCAAUAAAUUUUGAAAAUUUGGAAAGUGAAGUGUUUAGUAGUAGGAAUGUUGCUUAUUAUUCUUUUAGAGAAUUUGGAAAAAAAAAUCUUGUUUUCUGGCAUGGCCGCAUUUAACGUUUUUCCAAAAAGAGAAUUGUCAACUGCAAAAUUAAUCUGCGAACCUGGAAGGGUGAAACCUGCCUGGAUCAUUAACCACAAGUGUAAACAGAGAAAGUAAAAGUGGUGACCCCUUGUCUAAAUCAGUGCUGUUUUCUAAACAAAACAUAGGUUAUUUCACUACAUGACAUGAUAGCAAUUGCGUGGGGUUGUCAUGAGAGAUGGACUUAUGAUAUACAUUUCUUUGCAGGAGGAGUUGGAACACAUGUUAGAAGAGUCGGGGCAUCUACGGACCCUUGCCUUUUUAUACGCUAGUAAAGGAAUGAGCUCAAAAGCUGUGUCUAUUUGGCGCAUCCUGGCAAGAAAUUAUUCAUCUAGCCUACGCAAAGACCCUGCUUUGGAGACUAUUAUACAGGAUAGUGGGGAAAACCUUAUUUCUGGAAAGGCAAUUGCAGCAGCUGAAGCUUCAAAGAUUCUUGAGUUGUCAUCUGACCAAGAUUUGAUUCUCCAACAUCUAGGAUGGGUAUGACUUGAGUGGUUUAGAAGUUGGUUGUUAAUGCAAGUAGAAUGUCUACAAUUCCAUGAUUCUUCUUUUUGAACUUUCUCAUUUCAGAUUGCUGAUAUCAGCCAGGUUCUUGCAGUCGAAGUUCUAACAUCGGACAAACGAGAGAUCCAGCUUUCUCCUGGUUGGUCUUGAUUCUUCAAACUUGCCCACCCUCAUGAAUUUCUACAAUGAUAUUAUGAUAAUGUUUUGGAUCGUUGAUUUUGAGCAACACAAGUUUUGAAUACGUUGUUUUGCUCAGUUUGAACCACUUGUUUAUUAUCACAGAAUUACUAGUGUAAUCUGCCAAAGUGGUCUUAAAUAUCAUAUUUAUCAUUAAGAUUUUGUUUUUUGUUUUUGUUUUUGUUUCUGUUCAUUUUAUUUUAUUUAUUAAAUCAUUAGUGAUAUGUUCAUUUGAUACUGCAGAUGAAGUUGUUACAUCUAUUGAUCCAAAGAAGGUAGAAAUUUUACAAAGGUAUAUGGUUAUUGAUUCUCAGGAUUUCAUGAUGCGAUAAAUUCUUUUACCGUCUCAUCUUCAUUGCGUUUAUGCUCUAAUGUAUAUGAAUACACCUAAUGGUUAAGGGUUGGUUGUUGUAGUUAUGAUAUUGAUUUAUACUCUAUUUUUAACAGUCUGCUUCUUAGUUUACCCUGACAUCCUUGUUAUUUAGGUAUCUCCAAUGGUUGAUUGAAGACCAAGACUGCUUUGAUACUCAGUUGCAUACGUUGUAUGCUCUCUCACUUGCCAAAUCAGCAAUUGAAGCCUCUGAGUUUGAAAAUAUCUCUGAAAGUCUUGCUAGUGGAAAUACUGAGAGAAAUAAUAUGACUACUUUGAGGAACUCGAUCUUUCAGACUCCUGUCAGGGAAAGAUUACAGUUCUUUUUGCAAUCAUCAGACUUGUAUGAUCCAGAAGAAGUUCUCGACUUGAUUGAAGGAUCUGAAUUAUGGUUGGAAAAGGUAAUUAUAAGUCUUUUGACUAUGUUAUCCUAAAAUCUGUUUAUUUUAGUUUGAUAUAUUUUCUAUUUUUGGUUUUUUCGUUUCUUAGACAAUCUUUGGGAUGGGUGGUGAUAGAUUCUUCAUGUUCAAAUUGAUGUUUACCUUUUUCAACCUUUUUUGUUAAUUGGGCUUAUUUGACAGGCUAUUUUAUAUAGAAGAUUGGGGCAAGAGACUUUGGUCCUCCAAAUUCUGGCUUUGUAAGUUUCAUAUUAGCUUUGAAAUUGUUGCUGUUGUCUACUUUUCUUGUAAAACUUACUCGAAUUAUAUUGCAUGAUGCCAUGUAAUUCCUUGCAUGCAUUUUCUUAUUGUUGAUUCAUUGUAAUUUUACGAUCAAUUUUAUAUGAUGCCAUCUUUAUGCUUGUAUGUGUUUUACAUUAGAUUGUACAAACUACAAAUCAGUCCUUACCAUUCUCUAUUAAAAGUUUUCAAUUUUACAAGUCAGUUAUCUAGGUUGUUGGUCUGUGUGUAUAAUUUUCACAUGCUUAUAUUUGUAUCUAGUAUAUUAAAAGCUUGCAAUUUUACAAGUCAAUUAUCUAAGUUGUUGGUCUGUGUGUAUAAUUUUCACAUGCUUAUAUUUGUAUCUAGUAUAAUUGUGACAUAUAAUGGCUCUUGUCUUGCCACUUAAGAACAUGAUAGAAAAGAGUAUAAGACAAAUAGUCGAGUCACAACACAACUUUUCUCCUAUAUGCUUGGUAGUUGAUGCAUAUAACAAGCAAUUUUCUGUUGUAAUUUGUUUGGUAUGUUUACGUACUCGACUGAACAAUAUGGAAUUUACUACAUGCCCUUUGCACUAUGCAAUGGGUUGCACAACAUCAAGGUAGGUUUUAGAAGGUAGUAUUUUUCCUAUAUAUUAGGUAGAGGAGGAAGUGAGAUUAUUCACAACCUUCUACAUAUGUGAUUUGAUUAGACCCCACCUGGUGAGACCGAGUUCACCACAGUUAAAGUUUUGAGGAGUGUUCUCUUGAUUGAGAAACCUUAAACACUAAGUUUAUGAGUUGACACUAGUGUUUAAUUGUCAUUCAAGUAAAAUGUGAACUGUAAUAAUCCUGGUUUACAUAUAUUCACUAAAAAGAGGACUUCAUUAAAUUGAUUUUUGAUAGAGGUCAAAGAUGUCAUUUGAUGUUACAUAUAUUUGAAAGUCCUCUCCUAGUCUGAAGUUUUUGGUGUUGUUGUGACUAAAAAGAAACGAGAAAUAUGGAUUACUAUUUUUAACGAGCAAAAACUGAUCCUUCUAGAGUAUAGUAUCAUGCAAUUUACAAUAAUCUGUGAAUAGAAGUCCUUCCAAGUCAUGGUGAGAUAUAUGGUUUGAAGAUAGGAUUUUGGGAUUGAUCAUUGUUGAAUUCGAAGGAUUUCUGAGGACAACUAGAUUUCCCUUAUACUCCCACCGUCCCUAGAUAUAAGCGCCCAUUGAGAAUUUUUUUUGUCCCUAAAUAUAACCUCUUUUCAAUUUUCUAGAUGCAUAGCCCACUUGGGUUGGCCUAGUGGUAUUGGCUUGGGACCUGGGAGUGUGCUCCUCUUCAAGGUCUCAGGUUCGAUUCUCUCCGGGUCAAUUUAGGUGGGCUAAUUUAGCUUUUUCAAAAAAAAAAUAAAAAAAUUCUAGAUGCAUUUAUUAUUUUUUUCCAAACAUAACCCUAAUUAAUACUACUAAUUUACCUUGGAAUAUGAAAAAGUCAAAUUUGAAUACACUACAAACAAGGACAAAUUUAGUAAUAUCCCCACAAAAUGAACAUAUUAAUUACACUUUCAUCUUUUCUUAAUCUUUGUCAAAUUUGCAAUGAGGGCUUAGAUUAAGGGACAGAGGGAGUAUUCAAGAUAAUUUGUUGUAAACUUCAUUAAAGCAUGCUGAACAAUUGAGUGCAAAACUGCAAAUGGCUUACAAAGUGUAAAGUCACAAAAUCAGACUUCAUUUAUUUAUUUAUUAUUAUUGUCUGUUGGCUCCCAGGAAACUAGAAGACAGUGAAGCUGCUGAGCAGUAUUGUGCAGAGAUUGGAAGAUCUGAUGCCUACAUGCAGUUUGUCUCCAUUUUAUCCUUUUGACGAUUUAUUCAUGCAAGUAACGGUUAUUUUACACAAAUAUGUUAAAUGCUGUUUUUUUUGUUUUUUGUUUUUUUUUUUUGUCUUCAGAUUGCUAGAAAUGUAUUUGGAUCCACAAGAUGGUAAGGAGCCCAUGUUCACUGCUGCUGUUCGCCUUCUCCACAAUCAUGGAGAAUCAUUGGACCCAUUGCAAGUCUUAGAGGUAUUAAGCUCAUUCUACAUCAGUUUUAACAAGUAGACAACAUUUUUCAUUGUGAACUGUCUCAUUGGCUGGUCUGGUCAGGCCACAAACCCCUAAUUUGGACCAGAUUUAGGAUCAUUAAACAUGUUGAAUACCAGAAACCGUGUGUCCGAUAUAUUAGGAGACAAUCAAAUUAAAAAAACAGUCAAAGACCUUUUUGUUUUGAGGGUGUGGAUAUAUGAUGGCAUUGGUUGGGUGUCACCAGAUUGGUAUGUUGUGUUAUAAAAUACACCUAUUUAUACUCAUCAUUGCAUCAGUAGAGAUUCAGGUCAUGUAUUUUUUUGCUAAUCCAACUGUUUCUGAAGCUCAUGCUAUUAAAACAUAUUUUUGUCUAUUCUCUUGUCAAGUUAGAUGUUGCAUGUAAGAUGUGAUGUAAAAAUGCUCGUGUUUUUACCUGACUGCUUUAAAUACUCUUUGACUAGAUGUUUUGAUAGGAAUAUAGGAAAAUAUUUUGUUGAUGUGUCUGAUAUCUCGUGUUACUAAAACUAUUAGCACCACAAGACGGUCACUAGAAAAGAUAGUAUGAAAUAAACAAGCAGGCAUUAUUUCAGCAAUAUUAAUUCCUUCAUAAUUCCUUGAGUAUAAUUAUCAGGAUUGGAUGGAAGGACUCUGCAUGUAAUCAUUUGCAGAUUUUCACUGUCUUCUCUUUAGCUGUUAUUGUAUAUUUUAUGCACUCCGCAGAGUUGUACUUACUAAAUCUUUUGGCUUUUAAAUGCAGAAAUUAUCACCAGAUAUGCCGCUUCAACUUGCUUCUGAGACUUUACUACGAAUGUUCAGGGCCAGAGUUCAUCAUCAUCGUCAAGGACAGGUACUUUCAGGUUUUUCUUUUCUAGGUUGACAUGAUACAAAUAAGAAUUGUAGUGGUUGCUAUCUAGAGUAAUGGGUGAUCUUGUUUUCUGUAACUUCUCUCCUAGUGAGGUGAAUUCCACAUGAUUUUUGCAACUACAAUUUGAGUGCUUUUGGAACAAAGUAUAUGAUUAGUUUAAAUACAGUCAUCUUUUGAAUAUAGUCUCUAAUGUAUCGCCUGUUUAUGUGGAUUAUUACCACUCAAGUUCAUUAUUGUUCCAGAACUUGAACCUCUUUUUUUACCAAAAAUUCCUUGUGGGCAAUCUUUGAGAUAAUUUUUUCAUAGUCUGACAAUUUAUGGUUGACAUUUUCCUGUCAUACUUUAAUAUAACUCUGUAGACAACCAUAUGUUUUGGGCUUGUAUUGGUAACUUUGGCAACAUAUGUUUCAGAUUGUGCAUAAUUUAUCUCGUGCCGUAGACAUUGAUGCAAGGUUGUCAAGAUUAGAUGAAAGGUCAAGGCACAUGCAGAUUAAUGACGAGAGUCUCUGCGACUCUUGUAAUGCACGCCUCGGUACCAAGUUAUUUGCAAUGUACCCUGACGAUACAGUUGUAUGUUACAAGGUUAGUGCUUGAUCGCUUUUCUCAAUUGAUUCAUCAAAUAGAGCUCUUUGCCCAAACUUUCUUGCCUCAUCCAUGAUUUUACUUCUAAGCUGUUUCCCAAUGUGUUAUUUUCGGAAUUCUCGACAUGGUUUCUAGUGCAGAAAAUAAAAUAAUGUUUGAAGUUACCUCAGUGGAUUUUUUUGGAAUUAGUCGUACUUUUUGUAAUUGUUAUCCGCUACAUCUUUUCUUUCAUUAUUCUUUUUAAUGUGUAAGUCAUUACUGUCUAAACUAGACUCUGGGGGAAAGCUGACUGAUGGUUUAAUCUUCCAGGACUAUAUUUGAUAUUCUUGUCUUUGAUAGUUUCUGGUCAUUGUUUAGCUGCGCUCCUUUAAUACUGACACUGUUAUUAGCGAUGGGUUUUCUUAAUUGUGCUACUAAUACUUUGCAGUGUUACCGUCGUCAAGGUGAGUCAGUGUCUGUCUCUGGUCGCAAUUUUAAGGAAGACAUCAUAAUUAAACCGGGUUGGCUUGUGAGUCGUUGAUCUUAGAAGUUGCCUGUCUCUUGGCUUGUGAGUCGCAAUUUUAAGGAAGAAAUCCUAAUUAAACAGUGUCUGUCUCUUGCCUGAAGCCUGAAGCUUAGAAGUUGCCAUUCCAUGCACCAAACUAAAAUCCUUCCAAAAUAUGUAAAAGGAAUGUUGAUCGCUCGCUCGGUUAUAUAGGUGCACAUUUAGCGUUUUUCAACUCCUAACCUGCUACACUUAAGAGUGAAGUUCAUAUAGUUAACUGCCACAUGGUGGUUCUGUAAAUAAAUCUGUUGAGUGGGCCAUUGUAUUCCCCAUACCCCUUUUGGAAAAUUGCUUUGUAAAUUUUGAUAUUGUAAAAUGUAUAUUUUUACAUCUAUCUAUAUAUAAUCAGCUCAUUCUUGCAUUCUAGUUCUUUUGGGCAUGCCAUGUUGGAAUUUGGUUACAAAGAUUAGACGGUUGAAUAUCAUCAUAGUAUUCUAUUGUUUUUAAAACGAUUGCUUGUAACUCCAUUUCCAAACUGUAGUAGAAAUAUAAAAUAGCCUCUCAAUAGGAACUGGAGGACUCGUUUAAGUAAUAAAAAAUGAGUGCAUAUGUGUACAAUUUAAUUUAAUUUAAACCAUGACUGCAAACUCAUUCUUAUGUGAAUCCUUGUUACUGAACGCUUGCUUUUUCUCUUCAUGCACCGUUGGUAUAAUAAUAAAAAGUCAGCAUAUUACAUUCAUGUGUGUAUAACUGGUUAUUAUAGUAAAAAGAAAAAUAUUUCUAGAUCUAACAAUUAUAUGAAUCAAUAUUUUUUUUUUUUAUGUAAAUCAAAUACAUCUUUGGACCAUCUCCAAUAAGAGGGUCUCAAAUAUUUAAGACUUGCUACAUCAUUAAUCUUUCUCGCACACAUUUUUUUAAUAAUAAGUGGAAUCCAUACGUUUUUUAAUAUUAAAAAAUUGAGAUGUAAUGAUAUAAAGUUAUUGCUAGUUGAUUAAUGAAUUUCAUUUAAGAAAUUUGUGAGAUACUGAGUUGGAGGAAUUUAGUGCUUAUUAAGCACUACUAUUAAAAAAUUAUAAAUAAAUGAUAUGUACACGUGUAAUGUAUUUAAAUAUUAAAAAAUUAGUGUCUCAGUUGUAGAUACUCUUACGUAACUACUCUCCUUGUUUCUACAUCUAGAUAGAUCUCUACGUAGUUUCUCAUUAAUAUACCAAUAGUAAAUGAAAAAGGAAAAAAAAAAAAAAACUAUUGGCGCCAAUUUAUCAUGAUUAUUUGGCACUUUGUGUCAUCUUCAGUAAAAUAAAAACGUAAUUUUUAAUCAGAAUCAAAAGAACUUUUAAACAUGAAAGAAAACAAAAUAAAAUUAAGUGAAAGAGAGGUGAAAUUUACCUAACUGUGUCGUUUGGAAUGUCACUCCUACGUCGUAGGAAACGGAAAAACGAAUGGUUUAUGCGAAAAAGAAAUAAUUGUUGUGAUUCUUUCAAUGAAAUAACUUUUCAAAUUGACUGAUUAUGUGAUUAUACAAAUUAAUGGUGGUUUGAUAGCAUCAAAUUUAUGACCAGAAUGUAGAACUAGAGUCUAGAAAAAACUCAUACGUGUACUGAAGAAGAAAAAAGAGUAACAUGCAAUUUUUUAAUUUAAGGGGGUGGAUAUUAUAAUUUUUUUAGGCCCAUUAUUUUUAAAAGCCCAGUUCAAUAUAGCUUCUUACACUCCCCAAGAUCCGGCCUGGUCAUCCCCACAAAGCUGAUACAUGAAUGCAUACUUAUCUCAUAGGCCCUAGAAUUUCACAUAAUUAACAUACUAGUAUCAUAGUAUUAUUUUGGAAAAAAACAUUUGAUUUCAAACACAUAUCUAUGAGCAAAGUCAUAUAAAUUUGGGGACCACAUGAAUUAUGCACAAGAAAAUAAGAAUACUUUUAAAACGUUGCCUUUCAGUAUCUGUUGUGUGGUUAAUAUCAAUCAAUUAGCAUUAUGGAAGUGGAAGUUUCAUCACUUGAGAAGACCUAAUCUUCAUUUCUUGAUUUAUAAGGAUCUAACAACGAGUACCGGUUAUUCAUUGGGACCCAAUUUACGGUUGCUUCUAGAUCUUGGUUCCAUUAUCCAUUUUUGUUGGGUUCAUAGGAACUAAACAAGUGUACCAAUAAAUACUUUCAAAAAUAAAAAAACUACCAAUAAAUAAGAACCUUAAUUAACAAAAAAAUUCCCAAAGGUCUGCAAUAAUAUUAUCCUUAUCAUUUCAAAGACCACACAUAUAAAUUGUGGCAAUUAUUUUUUCACUUAAUUUGUCACCUUUUAAUAUUUCUGACUAGGUACAUAAUUGGAUUGCUUAUAAAUACUCUCAUUGGUUCAUUUUCUUGUCAGUGUAAAUUGAGUGGCUGAUUCAACUAUUUAAUUCGUUGAUCAAUUUUUUUUUUUAUUUGGCUAAAUAUUCGUUGAUCAUGGCUUUGAAUUUGCCCUCCCCAGCUCAAGUGAAACCCUCAUUUUUCUCUGAUAUCAUCAACCCAGUUAUCACCCCCACAAAACUUCCAGGUUCUUCUCUCAUGUCUCUGUCUUAUCAUGCACGUACAUAUAUGGUUGAUAAAUAAAUAAUAAUGAUAAUAAUAAUAAUAAUAAAAAUAAAAUAAUCAUUAUCAUGAUCCGGUCAUAAAAAAUGAUAAUAUUCAUGAUAAGAGCUUCCUCUUUUCUGUAACAUAUAUUUGUGUUAACUUCCUUACUUAUAAAUUAUUAUUAUUUUACCAUAACUUGUGCUAUAUAUUUCCUCAAGAAGAAAAAAAAAAACUUGUGUUAGAAAUUCAUUUGUUGAAUUAACUGGAUUAAAAAUACUUAUAUUAUUCUUUUUCCAAUCAGCAAUACUAUCAUAACAUCACAGGAAAAAAAACAUUAAUAAAGGUAUGAUUUUUUUAAGAAGAAAAAGAGACUAAGGUUUAUAAAAAGUAAGAGAUUAAUUAGUAAUCCGCUACCUUUUUUUUAUUUAUAUAUUUAUUUAUUUAUGUGUUAUCUACAUAGAGUGUGUUGUACUUAGCUAUAAAAUUAAAAAUAAGUUAUACUACUUCCUAUAAGCUGCAUGGAUAGAGAUAUGGCACCCGAGUACGAAUACAAGAUGCAAGAUUUCUAGAAAAAUUAUGGUACGUGUAUGUUAAAAUUAAUACGAGGAACAUAAUUUGGGUCCUACAAGAUUCAAGGGAUUAAUCUCUGUAAUUGCGCACGCACAAGAUACCCUCUUUGCACAAAAAAAAUUAUACGAGGAAACUUCUUUUAGUAAAUAUAGCAUUUAACCUAAAAAUAUGAGAAAACGUCGUUCAUACGAAAAAUAAAGCUAGAAUAUAUAUAUAUAUAUAUAUAUAUAUAUAUAUAUAUAUAUAUAUAUAUAUAUAUAUAUAUAUAUAUAUAUAUAUAUAUAUAUAUAUGAAAAAUAGUUUAGAGAUGAGUCGGAUUUCAAGGUUGUAUUGUUCAAGAUUUCAAGGUUCGCUAAAGACAGUAUUUUUCAAGAUUCGGAGGUAGCUAACGAUGAUAUUUACAAACCCACUAACAAGAUCCCAACGCUAACAACAAGAGUUGAACUCACGUUUUUGGGCAAUAUGAACCAUCCUAUUAUCAACUGGAUCAACAUACGUUGAUAGGCAAAAGAUAUUUUUAUAUAAUAAAAAAGGGACGUGAUAUAUAUAAAAAAAUAGAGAAAAAAGUAUACAAUAUAAUAGGAAAAAUAGCCAUGAGUAUCCGAUAAGUAUCGAGUACGAAUACAUGACUUUUGAAGUACCCAUUUUUCAUAGAGUUCAUCACAUCAUAUUUUGUCAAAAUUUUAUCUAUAAUAAGUUAUCUAAAAUCUAUGGAUCAUAUGAGAUUCAACUUGACCUAUAUUUGGCAUCACGGUGGCCAUACCAAAAUCACGAUGACCCAUCAUGAUUUUUCAAAAGAUACACUUUGUAACUUCUGUAAAAUCAUGGCAAAUCACCUUGAUUCUGACAUAUCGACCGACACCGUGAUACCAAAUAUACACUUAGUAGUUAGUGUUUAGUUUUGUAGAAGUGUUAAAAAAAAAAAUUAUGUGGUUGCCUCCCAUUGGGGGACCAAAAGUGUGGAUAUAUUUUUUUUAUACACUAAAAUCAAAUGUUUUGGUCAUAGUUUGAUGCCAAUUUGUGCUUAGUUUGUAAUUUACUUAGCUAUAGUUAAGUUGAGUUUGAUUAUGGUUUGAUCAGGUAGCUUUGCAUUGAAGAGAAAAGAGGGUGACACAAAAGUAGUAAAGAGAAGAGUUUAUUGCUCAGCAGCACACUCACCACAACCAGCUUGGCCUGGAACAGCUAUUCCUGAACCUAGUGAUUUUAAAACAUGGGAUGGACCAAAACCCAUCUCUGUCUUAGGUUCAACUGGUUCAAUUGGAACUCAGGUAUAACUUUCAUGCAUCAAUAAACAUGACAUUUUCUUUUCCUUUUAUGUCAGUUUCUCUAUCAACAAUGUGAUAUUUUAGUAAAAAAAAUAUUGUCCCACUUUAUAUCUUACUCCCUCCGAUCCUAUUUACAAGAGAGAUUUCAAUUAACAAAAGUUAAUGUAACUGGUAUAAUUUAUUAACCAGGUACAUCAAUUUUUGUUGACCCAAUUUUUUUUUAUAUAAAUAGAACCAGAUAGAUUAUUUUACAAGAUUAAAGAAACAAUGUUAACAACACAUUUUUCCAAGUACGAUUUUUUAUAGAUUAAAAUUCACACUAAUCACACAGUUUAAAUGAGACCCAUAUAAUUUGGUCAGAUCUAUCCGAAUUUUAACCAAUUAAAAAGAAUGUUAAAACAUGUGUUAUAAAGUGUGUUGUUAGCACUCAUUGUUAUAUUAUGUUUAUGAGGUUUGUUUACUUAAUAAGGUAAGGUAAGUUCAACUAAAUUCCUAUAAACACCUAAAAAUAUCUUUAACAUUUUUUUAUUGAAAAAUAUCUUUGUAACUUAAAACUGAUACAGCUAUUUUUUAUUAUUUAAUUUGUAGUAUUAAGGUUGUCCUUGUUCAUGGAUUUGUAACACACAUGUCUUUAAACAUACCAUAUUAAUAAUCAAAGAUUUACAUACCAAAUAUUUGAAAUGAAAGAAUUUUUUUGUUUUAAAAAUUCCUCUUACUUAAAUUUGCAGACACUGAAUAUAGUGGCAGAGUUUCCAGAAAGAUUUAGAGUUGUGGGGCUUGCAGCUGGUUCAAAUGUUACUCUUCUUGCUGAACAGGUAACAAUUACCUUACUCCAAACAUGUAAUAAAACUUAUCUUAUAAGAAUGAAUGUAUAAAUUAUUCCUACACUUUUUAUUACAUUUCCAUAAGCUAUUUUCAACUUAUUUCUAUCAGCUCUUAAGGAUGGCUUAGGUUCAACAGAUUGUUUUUUAGCAUGUAUUUGUUCCAUCUUCCACUUUGCAUUUCUUCAUAAUCUGUGAAUAAUCUAAUGAAUCAAUACUAGGAUAAGAAAAGGAUUUAUAUGUUGUUAAAAAACCAAAGUUACCUAUAUGGUUGAUUUCUCUCUAUGAAGCACUAAUACAAGCACAAAUAUCGAUCAUGAUACUAAAACGUCAACAUAAGUAAUCAGUUGAGAAAAUGAAAUAACUCGAUGUAAUGUGUCAGUGUCGUGUUGGACACUGACACAUGUUGGAUACCAUACAUAUUUUUAAUCUAAGGUGUUGGUACUACAUCGGUUUCGUGUAUAUCUCAUUUUCCUAGUUUUUAAUAUUGUGCAGGUAAGGAUAUUUAAGCCUGAGUUAGUAGCUCUUAGAGAUGAGUCUAAAAUCGAUGAGCUCAAAGAGGCUUUGGCUGGUAUUGAUCACAAACCUGAAAUCAUCCCUGGGGAGCAAGGAGUCAUUGAGGUGAAAAUUUUCAUCUGUUUCAUAUUAUAUAUGAUUAGCUUAUAGACCCACCGUUGUUUUUUCCUUUUCUGAGCAGUAUUAAUUUUUUCUUUCAGGUUGCUCGUCACCCUGAUGCCGCCACAGUAGUUACAGGAAUAGUUGGUUGUGCAGGAUUGAAGGUAAACUUCAGAUCAUAUUUAACCAAUAUGGCUAAGUCUAGAAAAACUUUUGCUACAACUUUAUGUAACACAACUGUAUUUACAAUUACAAUGUCAUUCUCAAGCUAGAUAAUAAUCGUGUGAUGCUAAUCAAGGUAUAUAUGUUCAUGACUUCAUGCUCAUAGUGGUUUAUGUAACAUAUUUAUAUGAUACAAGAGGUUAAAACUCUAGAACUAAAAAAAGUUUAUUGGAUAUAACUUAGCAUAAUGAUGCAUCCUAUUGUUAUUAUUAUUUUCCACAGCCAACAGUGGCGGCGAUUGAAGCAGGGAAAGACAUAGCAUUAGCUAACAAAGAGACAAUGAUUGCUGGAGGCGCUUUUGUUCUUCCUCUUGCUCACAAGAAUAACAUCAAAAUUCUUCCGGCAGAUUCAGAACAUUCUGCCAUUUUUCAGGUAUUCUAAGUCCAUCAUCAUUUGCAUAAACUCUUUCUGCUGAUAAUUGAUCACUGAUGCUUAUGGAAUUUCCUCUACACAGUGUAUCCAAGGGUUGCCAAAGGGUGCACUUAGGAAAAUCCAAUUAACUGGUUCUGGAGGUGCUUUCAGGUAUGAAAACGUAGUUCAAAAAGAGUAUUGAAAAUAUACAACAGGAAGCUUCUAGAAUCUACAUAGCUGACCUGAAUUAUCAAUCGACAAAUGCUAAUAUGGUCGGUAUCAUUGACAGAGAGUGGCCUGCUGAAAAGAUGAAAGACAUUAAGCUUAAGGAUGCAUUAAAGCAUCCCAUUUGGAGUUUGGGAAGAAAGAUAACAAUUGAUUCUGCUACCCUUUUCAAUAAGGUAACUUAGUUCAUGCUACAAUAAUUUUUUUUCGAUGAAAAGUAUUUUCUUGCAAAAUCUAUUUAAUGAUAUGUUCUUAGUUAUAUAAAAUGUUUUGUUUUUGUUUUUCCUUCUUGGCAGGGUUUAGAAGUAAUUGAAGCACAUUACUUGUUUGGAGCAGAAUAUGAUGAUAUUGAGAUUGUUAUUCAUCCACAAUCUAUCAUACAUUCAUUAGUUGAAACACAGGUUUAACCUUUUUUACAAUAUAAUGUGUUCAAUGUUGUUACUUAAUAUACAAAGUUAAUAUACAGAUUUAUUACAAAAUGAUAUUUUUGUUGUUGUUAUUUGCAGGAUUCUUCUGUUAUUGCACAGUUGGGAUUACCUGACAUGCGGUUGCCACUCCUUUAUACUUUGUCAUGGCCAGAAAGAGUCUAUUGUUCUGAAAUUACUUGGCCUCGCCUUGAUCUUACCAAGUACAAUCGAUUCUCCUUGUUUCAUAUUUAUACUAUAUCGUAGAUGGCUUAAAUCACUGAGAAACAAUAGGAAUAAUCGUAGCUAGAUUGACUUAUUUGAGCUUAUCUGCUGACAUAUGCACUUGUAAGACUGUUUGAGAGUGGCAUACUUUUGCAAAUAUUUCAACUUAUUCAAAGUUUUAUUUAAAUAUAUUCUGAUGGAUCAGGUAUGGUACUCUAACAUUUCAAGCUCCAGACACUAAGAAGUUUCCAUCAGUGAAUCUUUGCUAUGCUGCCGGACGUGCUGGAGGCACCAUGACCGGAGUUCUUAGUGCUGCAAACGAGAUAGCUGUCGAACUGUUUGUUGCAGAAAAGUAAGUAUAAUCUUAGUUACUUUCCAUAGCAAUUCUGCGUUGAGAAUUCUACUGCAUUUUUGUUGAUUGAACAUCUUAGUUACUUUCUAUUUUUCUCUCAUCAGGAUAAGCUAUCUAGAUAUUUUCAAGAUUGCAGAGCUAACAUGUAAUGAACAUCAAAAAGAAUUGGUAACAUCUCCAACACUUGAAGAAAUUCUUCACUAUGAUCAAUGGGCAAGACAAUAUGCUGCUGGUUUGCAAAAAGCUUUAAGUGUUUGAAUCUAAUGUAGCUGUGUGGUCAAUUGUUGGCAACCCACCACUAGCAUAUUUUGUUUAUGUUCAUAAAUUUUGUUUGUAUAAAAUGUAAAGGGUAGCAGUAUAUAUGUGUUAAAAAGGGUUUCAAUAAAAGCUCUUAAGUUAAAGCAUACUAUCAUAUUUUGAGAUGAUAAUGUCAUCCAAUAUGUUGUUCUUCCACUUGAAGAUGUUAUAAAUUUCUCUUGAGAAGAAUUAUAUGAAAUUGUUGACAGAAUGAAUUUGAACAAACAAGUGUCUGGUUAGAUUGACGGUGAAUUUCACAAAAAAAGGGUUUCCGUUAAUGCUUAUGAUUAAUAUAUUUUUAAUUUUAAGAAUAUUAGUAUAACAUAUAUUGAAUUGGCAUAAUUUGUAUAAACCCUCUAAAAUCCUGCUCCCAAAUGUGAGAUUUUGUACUAUGAAGAAAAAUAAAUCCUCCAAAGUCAUUCCCUCUCAAAAAAAUUUAUUUCUUUCACUUGCUCAUUUCUUUUUUCCAAAACCCUCUCAUCCCUUCCCCUCCAAACUCGCAAACAAAGCUUAUUGGAAAUACUGCAGUAGCUAAAAUCACUAAUUACCACGGUCGAAAAUCAAUAGUGGUACACUUUUACUAGAAGGAAAUGUCCAGAAAUCACAAUGCAGAAACAGUUGAAAUUUCUAGACAUAUUGUGGAAAGUUAUGAAUAAGGAUGGACCUAUAAAGUAAUAAAUAUGUAAAAUCCCAUAACAAUGAUUCUCCAACACACAUUAGGUCAAUAGAUUUGCUUAUAAAUGGUCAUCAUCUGAGUUAUACAACAUGAGUUCAAAAUCUAAAUUAUUGCUAUAGAGAAGAAGACUAUAAAGGAGAAGCAACAUAUAAGUAAAAGAAUUAUCACACUUAAUAUAACCAUCAAUUCAAAACUGGUAGAAGCUAUGGUGAUCCAUUCGAUCACUCAAUUUCCAUGGCAGUCAAACAUUUGCAAACACAUCAACAAAACCUUUACAUUACACAAAACAAUCAAAACAAGUACCAACCUUUGUAAAUUAAAUAGGGAAAUUUUCUGAGGACCGACUAAUACAAGAGUCUGCCAUCAUGUAAAUCUUGACAAAGUGACUAACCCCCUGAAUUUCUCUGAGGUGGUUUAUAGUAUUUGAUGAUCAAAUAAAAAGUGAGAAGACAAAACUUGGUGUAAGCCUGUGUCACCAAAACAAAACUUGGUGGAUUCUUUUUUACUUGACACUCCGGUUCUCAGAAAAAGGAGUCAUGGUAAUUCAGAGAUUAAUCGGGAGGUAAGUAGAAUUGGACUUCAAAAUGUAAUGAUUUUAUUUGUGAAAAGAUGCCUUCUGACUUUAUCGAUGUGUGUGUAGACUGCUGCAUUGGUGGUUAUAAAACCUUCAAAAAUUGCAGAGAACGAAUGCAAUAAAUCAUUGCAAAUGUGAUCCAAUCCAAGAAGAAUUAUAAUCACCCUCCAGAAGAUGUAGCAUUUGCAAUGCUUUGCAAGAAUAAGAUCCUAGAAGCAAUGUCAGUUGAAAAGCAUCCCAACACAGCAAUGGUAGCUGUACUGCUUCCAAACUUUUCAAUUCCCCUAGAAAUCAUGCAUGUGUGACUUGCCUCUACAACUACUAUUACAUUUCCACCUAAAAGAGGUGAUAUGGUUUCUGCUAUUUGCUUUGUAAGCCUUUCCUGAACUUGGAGCUUGAAACCAUAAAAAUGUACUAUCGACUGUAAGAGUGAUUUUCCAAUCGGACUGAAUCCUUCUGAAAGGAAAUAUCCUAUGUGAACAACGCCGUGAAAUGGAAGUAUAUGAUGCUCACAUUGUGACCAAAACGGCAAGUUCAACUCGGUGUAUAUUUGUUUAUCAUUAUUUACCACCUCGCCAGCAGCAUUCAAAGGUUUUAUCCCGCCACAAACGGAGCCAUUCAGCUUCACAUCCAUGUCAAUGCUUUGGAAGUUCAACAGCCAUUUCACGAAACGAUUAGGAGUCCCUGCAAGCUCCUUCCUAACCGAAUCUUCUCCCAAAGAUUUUAGAAUUGAAAACACUGCGGUGACCAUUGCCGGAUUGAUCGAUCCCGUUUUGGAGGAAACUUUGGUGGAGAGAGAUGGACACCAGCAUUGGUCGGGCAAUCCCUGAGCAUGAAUAUUUUCCAUAUCAAUGCCUCUAGAUUUAAUAAGAUAAAAGAAAUCAGCCCAUACGUCUGCGUUUUUGUUUUCAAAGACGCCAGAACCUGACGAAACAUGUAUCUUCGCCCCACCUUUUAGGCUUGAUUCUAGAAAGAUUGUUUCUAUGUCAGGAAAGUGAAUAUGUGUACACUGAAGUACGACGGCAACCCCUGCUGGUUGAAUUCCCUGUUGUAAAGCUGAACACACUUCGUCUGCCAGACGCUGAGGCUCUUGAAGUCGUUUAGCAAAUACUUCGGCGACACGAGAGAGCUUGCUUAAUCCAACAACUCUUUGGCCAGAAGGGACGUAACCGACAUGACAUUUGACUUGGAAAGGUAGCAAACAAGAUUCACAGUAGGAAUAGAGGUCAAUGUCUCGGACAAUCACAAGUCCGCCUGCACCACCAGCAUGACCGAUUUUAUUAUUAUCUAUGCCAGCUUCAGGAAAUAAAGCACCUUCAACAAUGUCCUUCACUUUUUGUCUAUAACCUGGAAAAGGAUCAAUUCCUUCAAGAUUAGCAACAAUAGUAUGCAAGAAACUAUGUGAAUCAAACAUGCAAAACAAGAGAGCAAAUUAUUGGGCUAAUAUGUUAGGAAAAAAACAUAGAAACAGAAACAAGAGAAAGAAAUCGGAUGCUAAACUAUUCCUCUUUCUAUCUCACUUAAAUACAUCGAUGGAACUGCUCACUUAUCAUUAAGAGCCAAUACUCAACACAAGGUACAAAAAGAAAAUGCAUCUACAAACAGCCUUGAUUGGAUUGAACUACCCUGUUGAUCGAAUAUUUUUGUAAAGAAGAACAAAUGACUAGUUUCCUCAGAACAUCUCUCCAUGCAAUAAUCACAUACUAUAAUUAUCCAAUAAAUCACACAAAUUUCCUUGACUACAAUCAUUUUUUUCGUCUCAAUUGAAAAUAUUCAAACUUCCCUAAAAAGGUUGAAAGAUUAAUAAGCAGUACCUAUAUCCAUCCCAUCCCACUAACAUGAACAACUUCCUAUCCAAUUUAGAUAUUGAACCAUACACAAUUAUAUUCUGCAGGAAAGUUGAAAAACUAUACAACAUCAACCAAGCCUUAUCCCACUAAGUGGGGUCAGCUCCAUGGAACAAACAACCAUAAUGUUCUAUCAUAUACUAUAUUUCUGUCCAACUCAUUAAUCUCUAGAUAAAGUUGAAAAAGUAUAACUCCCAUAAAAAAUAAACAUCAAUGCUUAAUUCAAAACAUUACAAUCCAACCACUUGAAAGAAAUCUUAUACCAAACUUUUAAACAACUAAUAUACUAAGUUGUUAACUAAACAUAUCUCAUAAGAGAAACAUCAACAAAACUACAAUGAUUCAAAUCAAAUUCACUACAAACUUCAAAAGACCAAACAAAAAUCACCUCUAGUUCCUUCACGUAGAGCCUUUGCAACACGAUGUGGUGUCUUCCUAAGACCUUCCCUAUUAAUAUCUUCACCAAGACCCAACAAAAGAAUCUUCACAGCAUCUUCAAUAGCAACUGUAUUAGCCUCAUCUUCAACCUCACUACACCCAAACAAACUCACUCCAUUUUCAAGCUCACCAUUGUAACACACCUCAUCAAAACACCCCAUUGAAAUCACACCCAAAAAAUAGCAAAAUCAAGAUUGACCCAGAUUUGCUGAAAAUAUCAAACUUUCCUAUAAAGGGUCCAAAAGGGUGAUUAAAAAAAUUCUCAGAACAACGUAGAAUGAAUCAAAAACACGAACACACGUUAAUCACAUAUUAAAACAACAUAACAAACAUUGGAAUAAGAAUAAGGUUGAUGUUGGAAUGUGUGGAUCCUAAGGUUUCUCUAAUGUAAUCUAAUAAUCAGAAUAAUAGUAAAAGAGGACCCCAGAAUCCAAAAAAGAAAAUGAUUAUGGCAUUUGUGGGGAGGAUGUUAUUGUCGGCCACAUAGAUAUCUCUAUGCAUCACUUAUUUUCCAACACUAAAAUGUCCUCAUAAUAAUUUUGACAUCCAAAAGAGGGACGUAAAUGUUUAAAAAAAGUUUAAUCAGAAGAGGGCCAAUCGCACCGUCUACUAACAAAAAUACAAUUGAAUAUAUAAUUUGCUAAACUCGUUCAUUAUAGUUAACAAAAGUCCGUAGUCUUGUACCAAAAAUAAAAUAAAAAAUAAAAUGCAUUUAGGAUAAUCUAGAUCGUCUGAUUUUGAUCGGACAAUUCAAAAAAUAUGUAGAUUUAUUUAUUUUAUAUUUUAAAAUAUUCAAAUUGAAAUCAGACUGUUCAAUCAAGAUAGAAUGGCUCCCGAUCUUCAAUUAUGUGAUUGUGGGUUCUUGCUGACAACAUAGAAAUUGAAAUCAAGAAUCACACGUUAGAGAGUAAAAUGUGAUUUAUCAUUAUUCAUCAAGAGAUAGAAAUGCAUUAGUAAUAUAGAUAAAAUGAAAUUGAAUGUUGAAAGAUCAUACAUUAGUUUCUCAUGUGUAAAUUGUAGAGAACCCAUUUCUCACACAAUUGAAGCCAAAUAAUAGCCAUGUAUGGAUUAGUCCAACACAUAAUUAUUUGCACAUUUAUGAUUUAAAUAUGAAAUAUGGACAAUUAAGUUCAGUUCAAAAUACAAAUAAUUUUGUUCGGUUCAGUUAUUUUAAAUUUAACAAACAUUUCAGUUCGGUUCAGUUUUCAUCCUGAAAUGAACCAUGCCCAUCCCUAGCUACCAUAAUAUGGUAUUCAACCUUCACAUUAGAUAAAGCAAUUGGUGCAAGCGGUGGAAGGCAAGGUGUCUCUCAACUCCUCUGAUAUGUGGAAGUGGAACCUUGACUCGUCGGGCGUCUACUCGGUUAAGUCGGCUUAUGGUCAGCUCUCUCGUGUCCUUUCAUAUGAUAACUCUCUUAAUCAGUCUUUGGUCUUAUCUUUAUCCAAGGUUUGGAAGUCAAAAUUUCCUAGUAAGGUGGCUACCUUCGCUUGGAAGCUUCUUCAGGAUAGGGUGCCUACUCGCCUCAAUCUUCUUAGGAGAAGGAUCUUAGUGGAUCAGGGUAGUGCGUUGUGUGCUUUUUGUGGGGUGUUUGAAGAGUCGACGACUCACCUUUUUUUUUAGUGUAUCAUUGUUACCCCUAUUUGGUAUUCCAUAGCUAGGUGGUUGGGAUGGGAUUUAGUUCCUCAUUCGUCUAUUUUAGGCCAUUUUUAGGGUUUCCUUAGUUUGGGGUAUAAUAAUAGAGUUGGUCGAGGUUUACUUUUAGUUUGGCUUGCUAUUGUGUGGUCUUUCUAGAACUUCCGUAAUGAUUUGGUCUUUGCUGGAGGGACUCAUUAUGUCGAGUUGAUUGUGGAUCGGGUGAAGUUCGUCUCUUGGAAGUGGUUCCAAGCUAAGAGCUUUGCGUGUCUCUGCUCCUUAUACGAGUGAGAGGUGCAACCUAUCAUGUGCUGGUAUCAAUAGGGUCUGAGGUGUUGUGUGUGCGGCGCGGUGGCUUUGUGGGGUGUUUUGGCUGGUGGCCCCUGCUCGGUUUUGCUUGGCAGCUUGUUUUUCCUUGAGGGGCUGGUUGUUGUGUUUAGGGGGCCGAUUUUUGUGGUGUCUUUUUGGGGUUUUGUUUUGUGCUCUCUUUUUUCGCAUUUUUACUCGUGUUAUUGUGCCUUUUGGUUGUAUCCCGUGCACCACUGGUGCUGGAUUUCUGUUUGUCUUUAUCUGAUUCUUUUUGUACUUUCAAGUUGUUUCCCAUGUUUUUGCCAUUCAAAAAAAUAAAUAAAUAAAACAAUGGUGUUUUUUUUCUUUUCCAUGAAAUAAUAUUUCCUUUUAUAAGAACACAAUAUCUGGAAAUGAACUCCUAUCCAUUAUAAGAUCAAGUGCCAAAUGCCAAAGCAUUACCGUCUAACAAGAUUAAUUACAAAGAGGAAUGGUUCGUGCAAUUUCAGAGAAAUUUUUUGUCAUGUCUUUUGGCAUUUUCUCAAGUUUUAUGAAGCCUGUUUGGAUUGACUUAUAUUAAUGUUUAUGCAAAACAAUUUAUUAAAUAAAUAAAUUUUUAUGUAUAAUUUAUAAGUUUGUUAAUGUAGUAUAUGAAAAAAACUCAUGAACAUACAAUGUUCGUUAGUGAAAACUUGUAAAUUAACAUAAAAACUUCUUUAAUUGUAUAAACUAUUUUUCAUAAGCAUAAAUUAAGCUCAAUCCAAACGGUACAUGAUUUUAUGAAGAAAAAAAAAAAGAAUUAAUAAUUUUAUAAGAACUUAAAUAAAAAAUUGAGAUUCAUAAAAAAAAAAUAAAAAAUUGAGAUUCAUAAAAAAAAUAAAAUAAAAUUGAUAUGCUAUUUUCUUUAAAAGAAAAAAUUAGUUAUUUUGGGUUAAUAAUUAUUUCAUAAAUGAGAAUUGAUGUUCCCACAUUUGAUAAGGCUAUGGCACACGAGUAAUUUACGUUUUUGCCCCCUCGACAGUUAAUUACUGAUGAAUUAGAACUUCGGCUGCAGUUAACUGCUGAGGAAAACCUCGGGAAUUAACUGCCGAUGAACUUAAAACUUGAAAUUAAAUAAGGAAAUACACUAAGUUUUUCCUUAAUUAAAUUUAAUUCUUUAAUAAGGAAAUAUUUGUAAUUAUUUGUAAUUAAUUUCAUUGAUGUCUAUCAUUAUUCAAGGUAAUAAAAAAUAUUCUUUUUUUAAAAGGUAAUAAAAAAAUAUUCUUAAUCUUAACCAAUAUAUAUUCUUAAUAUUUAUUUUUUUUCUUAAUAUUUAUUCUUAAUAGUGCUAAGAUUUAACUCAUAAAAUUAAAUGUAAAUUAGAUUCAAUUUUCUUAAUAUUUAUUCUUAAUAGUGCUAAGUUUUAUAGGAAGGAAGAUGUAAAAACAAUUUUAUUGGCUAUUGGUUAUGGAAAAAAUGAAAGAGAGAGAAAAUUGAAUGUAAUUUGCAUUUUAUUUUAUGAGUCAAAUCUUAGGACUAUUAAGAAUAAAUAUUAAAAAAAUUAAAUAUAAUUUGCAUUUAAUUUUAUGAGUCAAAUCUUAGCACUAUUAAGAAUAAAUAUUAAGAAGAAAAAAAAAAAUUCUAGGAGAAGAAGCCAAGAUAUAAUGGUAUUUUGUUUAUAAUAAACACAAUUAAUUUAGAAACAUGCAAGUGUACGUGUAUGUAAAAUCAACAAAUCAUCAAACACAUUUCAUAUUCUAGGAGAAGAAGCAUCCACGAGCGUCUGAAAUCAUCAACACUGUUCAACUAUGUUUCGAUUAUCUCUUUUUUAAAGCUUCAACAAAACAGUAUAAUAAAAAAGGUAUGAAAUAGUUAAAGUGCCGAAGAAGUUUUUUUUUUUUUCUUCUCUUUUUUCGUCGGCAGUUAACUGCAACCGGUUCUUUAACUUCGAUAGUUAACUGCCGCAUGGGUAUUUUCGUCUUUUAUAUGUGUUUUUCACCUUAUGUGUCGACAACAAUUCUCUUAAUAAAUAAACGGUUAAACUAUUAACCCAAAAUAAAAUUAAAAAGGUAAUUUCUACGGUACACUCAACAAAAUUGAGUGCAUCGGUACACCUACAUAUUAAAUUAAUAGUUUAAUGAGUUACUUUUUAAAAAAAAAUAUAUUUUCUAUCAGUUAUAAUUAUAAUAAUUAUAUUUUAUUUCUCAAAAGUGUCCGCAGAUCAAAAUUCAAUUUUUUUUAUUUUUAUUACUCAUAAUAUAGUGAAUAUUGAUUAUUUUUUCGAUAAAAUUUUAAAAAAAUUGUAUGAUUCUUAAAAAAAAUGAAAUGAUGUUUUUUCUUAUGAAAUAAUAUUUUCUAAAAUAUAAAAGUCAACAAAUAUCUCUUUAUUACAUAAAAAUAAUCAUUAACGUAUUGAUUUAUGAAAUAGGUGUCUACCUUAGAUACUUCCGAUUAAAAAAAAAAAAAAAAAAACACUUUCUUAUUCGAAUCUUGAAUGGCUUCUUCUUCUUCUUCCCAUGGAUGCUACCGCCAUCAUCAUCACCACUGCCAACACUGUCCCCUUCGCCAUCAUUGCCACCACUGCCCACUCCACAACAACAACCCCAACCCUCCUCACUUCUCGCAAUUCAAUUUCACUUCUCCUCAUCUUCUUCCUCAAACUCAUUCUCAAAAUAUCUUUCCUCUCAAUCAACCUAUCAAUGCUUCUGCUGCUCAGUAAGUUCCUUUCAUUCUUCUCUUGUUGGUAUUAAUUAGCGUUUUUUAUUUUGAUUCAGUCUCUGCAAAUUCUAGAAAUUGAUUUUUUAGUCCUGAUGUAGGCACUACGUAUGAUUUUAGGGAUUAAAAUCAUAUUUAAACCUUAAUUUUAUGAAUUUAACUAGUAUACUCUGGCUGUGUACUAUUAUUUUACACAUGCAGUUAAUAAAUAUGAAUACACAUGAGAUGACAUAUUAAUUGAACUCUAAUUCUGUUAUCAUUAUAGUAACACAUGGUUGUAGUUUUGAUUGAAAAAUAUUACAUGACAUUGAAAAGAGGGUAAACAAAAGUUUUGAUAAGUGAUUAAGUGGAUGUUUUGGUUAGCGGUGAGAUCGUCAGACUCACGGUGAACCAGAUAGAUUUUUGCAAAAGCUACACUUUGUAGCUUCAAUAAAAUCAUGGUGUCACUGUGAUUUUGUCUGUCUCGCCGGCACCGCUCAUCCAACCAUAUAUUUCAAGAUACUAUGUCUACACAGCAUUCAAAGAUAUUUCAAGUAGGUAGAAGUGCUAACAUUGUGCCAUACAUUUUCUGAAAUUGAAUUGAAGUUGAGAAGAUGCUACAACUUUAUGGUUCGUGAAAAAUCAUGUAGUUUCUACGUAUGACCAAAGUUAGAGAAAAAAACAAAUAGUUUGAAACUUUAGAUAUCUAGCGAUGUCAACCGCAAAUCGUUGGUAAUAGAGUCUGUUCAAAUUACGCUACUUUUGUAGUGCUACAUACAUAACCACUAUUUGACCACACUUUGUACUAUAUAGAGAAUUGCAGAACAAUAGUCAGCGGUUUUUUCAAUUUCUGCUACGCUAUAGCCGCUCUUUGACAGCACUGUCAAUAAAUUCAGAAAGUUUAGUUUAAAUCUUACUGAAACAAAUUGAAGUUCAACAGUGUAGGACUAGGAUGCUUAUACUAUAUUCAGAAUUGAAAGAUAUUUCAAGUAACUGGAAAUUCUAACAUUGUGCAACAAAUUUUAUGAAAUUGAGUUGAAGUUCCCAUGACAGUAGUAAAUAAGAUGCUAGAAGUUUGGUGAAAAAUUAUGUAGAUUGUAUGAUCAAAGGUAAAAAAGAAAACAAAUAACUUUGGAACUUUAGGUAACCAGUGUUGUCAAUUGCAGAUUGCAAAAAGUAGCGGUUUGUUCAAAUUCCGCUAAUUUUAUAGUGCUAAUGAGCUGCUAUAGCCGCUAUUUGACAACAAUUUGUGGUAAAUAGCGUAUUGUGGAACAAUAUCAAUUUGUUCAGAUUCUGCUACGUUAUAGCCGCUAUUUGAAAACAAUGUCUAGAACUUAAAAAAUUUAAGUUUAAACCUUACUGAAACUAAUUGAAGUUCCACAGAUGGUUUUGUAUCCCCAAAAUAGACUAGGGAAAUAAACAAAUGCCACUAAAUGCAAUGCUUGUAAGUUUAGAAAAAUAUAUAGAAUCUGAAUUUAACCAUUGAUAGUAGAUUGUGAUUUCCACCAUGAAUUAAGGGAACGGGAAUGGAACACUAAAUUUUUAAAAGCAAUUUGUUUGGUUUGAGUGAUUAUGAAAGAAACUGCAUAUAAAUGUAUUUAGGAUUAUGUCGAUUAUAUGCCUCAACAAGAGUUCCCUUAUCUUUAUCUCAAACAAAGGAUAUACUGACAUUUCCUCAAAGGUUUUUCCUUUGAUAACUGGCCUGGUUAGUUUGAUUUUCUACUAUUGCUCUAUGUGCCAUUAUUUCCUGUUGCAUUUCAUUAGAUGCUGGAUAUUGUGCAGUCCUAGUUAGCCUAGUUUCUUACUGAACAUCUCCUAAUGUGCAUGGUUCGAUCUAUGUCAUUAAGAUUCGAUUAAGUUUUACAUUUGCUGCCGACUCUCUAACACAGCCCUCUUGUAAUCCUAUUAUCUGGGUUUGGGUAGCAAGGCUAACUAUAAGAGAAACUGUUAAGAAAGACCUAGAGAUUAAUGAGUAGGAUGGAGAUAUGAUAUGUGAUAGAAUAUUAUGGUGUCCAUUGAUCCAUGUAGCCGAUCCUACUUAAUGAGAUAAGCUUAAUUGUUGUUGCAUGGUUUGAUGUGUUGCUGGAUGUACUUUAUUAUAAUUAGAAACCUGUCACAUUGAUUGAGUCAUAGGUUUCAGUAAGACUAAUUCAUCCAUCCUCUUUAUUUAUUGUAUAUGAAUGUAAUCGAUCUUAUGACGCUUUUGGAUGACAUCAGAAUUUCACAAGAGCAGGAGCAUAUUGAGCUAGACGGUGACGAAGAGGAUGAUGAACCGAUUUUUGUUCUCACCGAUGAAUGGAGAGAGUUCUUUGCGAAAUCUGAAGCUAAAAGGAAACUAGGUAACUCUCGUCAUACAUACUUCAUUCAUACUACAUACAGCCACAUAAUGCUUUUAUUUGUGCUAAAUUGUAAUUUUUUAUUCUCAACUGAUCUUACUGUUGAAAAAUUGAGCAUGUCAUAUACUGUUUGACUAUGAGUCUGUUUGGAUUGGUUUAUUUGAACUUAUGUAUAGGCAAAAACACUGGCAAGACUGUUUGUGGAGCUAUGGAAGCAGUUUAUGAUAUGUCAAAAGCUGUUUUAGGAUAGCUUAUAUGAAAAUAGUUUGAUUUUGUUUUAUAUUUUCUUAUAGAAAUAGCUUAUACACAAGCACUUAUAUGAUAAACACUUAUGCUAUAAACAUUUAAUCAAGUUGUCUAUCAAAACAUGGCUUACUUAGAUUCGUCCAAUCUGCUUUUAAGCCAAUUCCGCUGACACACAGAAAACAUAAUCAGUGUGAUAUAUCUGAGUUUGAAUGAUCACAAUAAGAAGUUUAGGAAAAAGGAAAUUCUCAAUUACCUAACUCCUAAUUUUGAUAUUUAUUUUUGUACAAAAUCAUACAGAGAAGAAGCAGGCUAAGAAAGCAAAAAAGUAAAAGCAGAGAGGAGUGUUUGUUGGCGAAUUCUUUAUGGGUAUCAAGAAGAGGUUGUUCAAGGUUAUUGACGACAAUCCUGCUAUCGAGAACGUUAUGUGCUUGCCAUGUAUGACAACUCUUGCCCCUUGUCUGCACAUUUUAAAAGGAUGAUGAAUUACUUACUAAUACAUCUGUACUUAUACAGAUCGUCUUUUGUUCUAUAAAAAAUGUUGUCUGUAUAAAUUUUAUAAACUCAAGACUAAUUCAUAUUAUGACUUUUUAAUGUUCUUAUCCUUGUAUUUUCCGAUAGUUACUAGAGAAAAUGGCGUUGAAAGAAAAAGUUGAAUAAAUUGCGCUUGCAAUGGGCAUUGAAAAGUUCUAAAGAAUUUGAAAUGCUAAGAAUUUGAGCUGUAUUAAUUUAAUGCACUUUUGCAAAAUUUAUUUUUUGGAAAGUGUUCAAUGAAAUUAGUAUUUUUAAGGAAAUUGAACCAAAUACAUCAAUUUUAUCUGACUAAUUUUUUCUUAUAAUAAUUUUGGACGGAGGUAUCUAUGUAAACUCGUGUAUUUAGGUAAUGACGGAUGAUAUGAUUUUCGGUUUUAAUUUGGUAGGAAAACAUGACUUUAUAAUAUCUAUAAUAUCCCUGUAAGCUUCAUAUUUUAAUUUGAUAAUCUCCAUGUAUGAUAUACUUAUAUCACAAUUUAAAGCUCUUUGUCCCUUUUAAAAAAAUGAGUUAUGUAUAGAUCAAACCACCAUCAUCCACCUACAAACUCAACAUUGUCUAGCCAAUUGAACUAUACCUAUUAAGUUGAGAAAAUUUUAUUUAUUCAAAAUUUACUUUGAUAUAUAAACUUAAAAUAUAAAUUAUCAGAUGAAAUUUGUGCAACACAAUCUUUGUUCUAAAUGUUUUCAACAAAAACGGUUCAAUGCAUGGUUCUCAUGAACUAGAUAUCAAAUUUCACUUAAGAUAUAGAUUUGAUGUGUCGGGAAUGGAAGACCAUAAAAUGUGUUGACAAUGACUAAUCUCUAUGUGAAACCAAAUUAUUGGUUGUUGAAAUAAUAUCGAGCUCCUUAACAAAUAAAUAACUUUGAACCAAAUGACUAAGAUAUUUUGUUUUUCUUUUUUUGGUAAAAACACAAAUUGUGUACGGAAAAUGCUGCAGCACACAUAUGUGGAAAACACUUGGGUGACAUUGAGUGUCAUGUGAUAUUGGGCAACUACAAUGUCACAAGUGUACAAAAUAACAAAAAUUUCUUGUAAGUGAGAGAGAAGAAAGCCAAAAUUUUUAUUUUGUACACUUGUGUCAUUGUGGUUGGCCAAUGUCACAUGACAUUGGCACCCCAAUGUCACCCAAGUGCUACCCACACAUAUGUGGUCACAAGCUCAAGAAAAUCUUCCAUCUUGCUAUUAUUAGUUGGUAUGGUCAUAUACGUUGCUUCCUGUCUUAAAUUUAAUUCAAUCGGAAAUCAUGUUGUUCCUCAAUACCUAAAAAGUUAUACCUACAAUACGAUAAAUAGUCGUCACUUCUUUAGGUUUAUGUACACGUUGAUAUCAGUGGCAGAUCCAGGAAAUUUAUGGAGUCCGGGCAAAAAAUUAAUCGUAAAUUCACAUGUGCAUAAUAUAUAAACAGUUAUAAAUCAAAAUAUUUUUUUUAUUUUUAUUUUUUUUCCUAAAAAAAAUUGAAUUAAAAGAGGUUUAUCAUUUUGUCAACAAAAGUACAAUUUAAAAUAGGGUUAUUAAUUGAAAUUGACCACAUAAUAUACAUGAAGUCUGAAAAUUUACCCUGUAAUUAAAUAACAUGUAUUUUGACCAUGUAAUUCGAGAUUUUUAUUAUUUAUAACCUGUAAUAUACGCGAAGUCCAAAAAAGAAACCGAGAGAUUGAAUUUUUACAUGAUUUCCUAGAGGCGAGUUAAAAACGUUAAAAUAUGGCUUUAACAAAAAAAAUUAUAAAUUUUCGACAAACGACAAAUUAAUUAUGAAUUUUUAAAGUGUCAAAAGCUCAAAAAACAAAACAACGGAAAUCUCGAUCUAUAAAUAGAAUUUUGAGCUCAUUAUUUGCAGAGAAAUCUAUAAAAAAAUACAUAAAAAGGAUAUGUAAAGUUUCAUAACAUUUCAAAGUCGUUUAAAUUUAUUUUGAUUUUUCAACUAAAACGUGCAAAAUUGAAAUUUUGUUCCGCGUAAGUGUAUACUCACAAGUCAAAUUUAGUUCCCUAAUUUUGUAGGCAUGACUAGAACAUGAUAAGAACCUUCACAAUGAAAUUUUGUAAUUUUUAAACGAGAUAAAAAUUAAUUAUAAAUUGUUUAAGAAAUUCAUAAUUAUGAGGGAAUAAAAAUUCAUAAUUAAUUUAUCCCUGGUCGAAGAAAUUUAAUUUUGUGUAAAGCUAUAUUUUAACGUGCUAAACAUGUAUGAAAAAAAUAGUGAAAAAAUUCAACCCGUAGGUCACAUUUUUAGACUACACGUAUAUUAUAGGAUGGUCAAAAUUAAAUAAGAAGAAAUUCAAGUUACAAUGCUAGAAUAUAUGUUUUGUAUUUUAUUGGGUCACUUUUCAAACAUAAAGUAUAUUACAGGGUCAAUUUGAACAAUUAACCCGUUAAAAUAAUAGAGAUGAACCCGUCAAUAGUGUGCUAAAUAAAAUUCCAAAACCUACUUGCGUGUGACAAUUUUCAGAUUGCCCAAAAUUUUCUUUUUGUAAAUGUGUUAAUGGGCUUUUGGGUUGAGUCUAAUGUGAAAAAAUUAUCGAUCGAGCCCGGGCGACUGUCCCGGAUCGCCAUACGGUAGAACCGCCCCUGGUUGAUAUCGUUACUAAAGUGAAGACUUAGACUUUCACAUAUAAUUCAAACGAGUCAUGUUUCAAACAUGAAGCGUAGAAGUUAACCACAUACCCUAAUUAUCUCUAAUUGAUUAAAGAAAUUAGAAUUAAGUUCACAUGCAAUGGUUCAUACUCGAGCUAGUCAUAAGCUUCCAACUCUAAUCUAUGGUUAAAUCACACAUGUUAGGUAUGUCGCACUUCCUAGUGCGUGAAGACAAUAAAAAAGUAUGAAACAUCUGAAAAUUAAACAUAACUCAUAUCAUAUAACUAAAUAAAAGACUUGCAUUCAACAAAUAAAUAGAAAUUCAUCUUAGAAUCCUAAUCAGUAAAUUUUUAAUUACUCAUGGUAACAAAAAGACAUAAUACAAAAGAAAUGAAAAAUACUCUUGUGACAAAACGGAGGAUGAUUGAGGCUCCCACUUGAUGCUCAUAACGAUUGCCCUCCUCUUAAACUACCAACUUCUGAAUGAAUGUUAUUGUGCGGAAGACCCUCUAUUUAUAAGCAUAUUGUAUAGUGUUGCCACAUUGAUUAAUAAGAUAUGACACAUAAUGUAUUUAAUUCAUUAAUAGUGUGUCAACACAUCAUUGAAUGUAUCUAUAAUAUUUUUUUAUUUUUUUAUAUUGACAUUGUAUAUAAAUUAAACUCUAAGAGUUUAGGGUCUAGUUACAAACAUACUAUGUGAUUUAGAUCUCUCGUUGAAGAAGAGAAAUGGAAAGAAUUAAGAAAGAGGAAGAAUAUGGAUUUUAGUUUAGGGAAUUUAAUAAAUAUUUUCAGGGACAAAAUUGUCUCCAAAUAUUAUUAUUGUGGGUCCUAAAUGUCCCUGAAUAGUUUGAAAUAGGUGGAAUAUCGUAUAAACUUGUAACAUUUUUUAUUUUUUUGGUACAAUGAUUGUAACAUAUUUAAAAUAAAAAUAACGUAUCCAAUAUUUUUUGUAUGGGAUCUAAAAGUUGAUGUUUAUUUUCUCAAGUUCAACCUGGAUUUCGUGUUUUUUUUUCUUUUCAAAAUGAAUAUGUCCACGCUUUACUAUAUUUUUCCAAAAGAAAGACUAGGUGUGUACUAUUUAAGACCAAAAACAACAUAAUUUUAAUGCAAACCUCAUAUAAUGCAAUAGAGAAAUGAUAUUUGUACAACCAAUUUGUAAUAAUUUUUUAACAACUUUCUCUCUCAUACUCAUAUUAUCCUCUUAUUCUCUUUCUUCCUUUUUCUCUCUCCAAUAUUUUUAACCAAUGAAAAGAGAGAGAAAAUAAAUUGUCACCAAAAGUUAUCUCAAAUGGUUGUUAAAAUAUCACUACUCAAUGAAAUACCACAUUCAAUGAUCUUAUAAAACUUCUAUGUAUGGUGGUUGAUGAAAAGGAGUGGUAACGAUCCAUGUCUGCCCUACCUUAGGUUCUCUCUUAAUAUUGACCACAUAUGACUUACUUCACAAAAAUGAAGAUAAUUUGAUACGAUAAAUAAUAAAAAAAGAUAAAAAUGAUUUUACUAAUUGGCCACAUAUUAACUAAUGGCAAAACGUCAUCGUGAGCUUAACUCAGUUGGUAGAAAAAAUGCAUAAUAUAUGUAAGGUUCGGGGUUCAAACCCCGGCCACCACAAAAAAAAAACUAAUGGCAAAGCUACACGAGUCUUUUAUAUUAUUUAUUUUUUUUAUAAUAUUUGGGGGUUUAUCUUUUAAAGUCUGAGAAAUGCUAACGAGUGUUCUAAAGACACUCUUUAACAACCUUAAAUAAUAAGUAUUUUUUAUUUUUUUUUUAUAGAAAUUGAUGAAUUUAAUGCAUCAAAAAUUGAAUUAAUUGAUUUUUUCAAUAAAUAUUUUCUUAAUUAGAAAUCCUUAAAGAAUGUCCUUAAAAAAUAUGAUGAGUUGCCUUGCCACAUAAGAUUAUUAAUAAUAAUUUUAUUCUUACCCAAUUUAUUUUAUCAAAUUCCCCUAGAAAAAGACAACAUUCAUAAUCUUCAUCAUUAUCUUCAUCUUCAAUCUUUGUCAUCGACCUUCAUCACACAAAUCAUAAUCUUCACAAUAAUCUUUUUUGUUGUUGGAUUUUUUUGGGAAAAAGAUGAAGAUUCUUGAUUUUUAUAUAGGUUUGAAAUUUGAGGAAAACGACGAUGAAUAUAAAAAAAAUGAUGUUUUUUUUUUUGGAUUUAUUUUAUUUAAAAAAGAAAAUUAUAUAAGAAUAAUAUUAUUAUUAUUAUUAUUAUUAUUAAUCCUUUGUGAUAAGUGAACUCAUAAUUUUUUGAAUAAUAAAUGUAAAAUAGGAUUAACUUGUAUACUCUUUAAAUAAUAAAUGACUUAAAUGUUUAAAAAAAGAAGAUAAAUAACCUAAGUGUUACAAAUAAAUAUUACUGAUACAAAAUGAUCUAACUUGUAUGCAUUUCAAAUGAUAAAUGUCUUAAAUGUUAAAAAAAGAAGAUAAAUGACCUAAGAUAAAUGUUCUAAGAUAAAGGGGCCAAUACAAUUUUGCCUUAACUAAUUAAAUAUUGGUACAAAAUGGAGAAUAUAAUAAUUUAGAAGUUAUGCACAUAGCUUAUUGCCUUAACUAAUUAUUUUGGUGUGCAAAUGUGACGCUUAUUGCAAGACAAAGAAUACUUACUAAAAUAUAAAAAGACGUUUUUCAUAAUGUUUAAUAUUGGAAAACGUUUUCCAUAUCGUGAACUUCAUGCAUGACUUUUCUACCUACAUAUUCGUUUUCAAUAAUGCUAUAGAAUUCAGAUGCUAUAAAUAGAUGUGAAGUAUUUAUGGCUAAUGCAUCCUCUGAACCCAACAAGUCUCCAUGGAUCUUCCUUCUUUUUUUCCAAUUGUUGCAUCCAUCUUAGCCUUAUUGAUUGUACAACUUCGAUUUAGAUCUAUUAGAUCACCUAAUAGACUUAAAGAAACAAUAUUCAGCAAAAAUCACAACAAAAUACCUGAACCAUGUUUUGCCUUACCUUUCAUAGGCCACCUUCAUCUUCUAAGCACUAAAGAACCCUAUUUUAGAACCUUUUCAACCAUGGCUGAGAAAUAUGGUUCAAUCUUCUCCCUUAGGCUUGGUUGCAACCAAACCUUAGUGGUGAAUAGUAGAGAAAUUGCCAAGGAAUGUCUCACAAAAAAUGACAAAGUUUUUGCCUCAAGACCUAAUGUAGCAGCAGGGAGAUACUUAGGUUACAACAAUGCUAUUUUAGCUCUUGCUCCUUAUGGAGAUUAUUGGCGAUACAUGAGAAAAAUUUCAACUCUUGAGCUUUUAUCAAGUCAUAGGCUUGAAAAGCUAAAGCAUGUUAGAGAUUUUGAGAUAUAUUCUCUAGUAAAAAAUUUGUACACAUUUGUGAAAAAAACAAAUGGUUCAAUUGAAGUACCUAUUAGCAAGUUUUUAGAUCAUAUGACAUUUAAUAUAAUUGUGAAGAUGAUAGCUGGUAAAAGAUUUAGUGGUGAAACAAUAAAUCAAGAAGAUAGUGAGGCAUGGAGAUUAAGAAAUGCAAUUAAAGAUACUACAUAUCUAUGUGGUGUUUUUGUUAUGGCUGAUGCUAUUCCUAGCCUAAGUUGGAUUGAUUUUCAAGGCCAUGUUGGUUUCAUGAAGAGGACUGCUAAGGAAAUGGAUUUCAUUCUUGAUAAGUGGUUGAGUGAACAUUAUAAAAAGAGAGAUGAAGUACAAAGUGGUAAGGAGGAUGAUUUCAUGGAUGUAUUGAUAUCAAUGUUUGAAGAAGAUGAUGAAAUUUGUGGCCACAAACGGGAGACAGUUAUCAAAGCAACAACCUUGGUACGUUUUUCUUCAUGCUUAUAUUAAGUACUAAAAUUUGAAAGUAAUAUGUCCAUCAAUUAUCUUUUUUUGGUGGUGUCCGGGAUUCGAAUAUCAUAUCUUACAUAUAUUAUGUAUUGUCCAUCAAUUAUCUAUCAAUAAUAAAUCAUUUCAAGAGUGAAAACAAUUUCACAAGCAAUUUAUAGUAUUUUUAAAAACCAUAACCUAAUCCAUAGAACUUUUUUUUCUUGACCGAACUAAUCCAAAGAAUUGAAAACCGUACAAAACUGAAUAUUAUUUUAUAUAUAUUUGGAUGUUUUUUUUUUUAAUAGAAACCGUUCAUAUCAUAUCUCAUAUUCCUUCUUAAAAUUUAAACCAAACUAGAAACAUAUAUCAUAAUACUUAUUUUCUUAUUAAUGUGAUAUAUUGCAAUAUGAAUCUAUUACUUGAUGACUUUUUAUUUAUUUAAUAAUACUCAUAGUCUAAUUUAAUCUAUUUUUUUUCUUCUAUUUCACAUAUUUCAAACAUAAUCGAUCAUUGUCAUUCAUUAAUGUUAAUUUUCAGUAUAUUAUAUGUUACAUUUUACACCAAAUAUAGUACUUUACCAUGUUUUUAUAAUAUUCAUAAAAAAUUUACAAUUUUAAUUUAGGUAUCCAAAAAUCGACUCAAAUUAAACUGCAAUGAAUUAUCAAUUUUUUUUAAAGAAGUCGUCCAAAUUGAACCUCGUAUUAUUUUGUCUAUCGAUUGAAUGAUUUUUUGCUUCAAAAUCGAUCUAGACCGACCGCGAAUACCUUAUAUUGAAUUUUGAAGUGCAAGGUCUUGCUCAAGUAACUAACCUUGCAAAUAUUUUUCAUUUGUUAUUUAGGCCUAAAUGAAGUUUUAAUCUCCAUAUGUUAUUUGUUACACGGCUUUAGUCCUUCUAUUUCUAAAUACAAAAAUAUACUUAAUCAGUUUUGAAAGUUUCAAAUUUUUUCACCAUUAAAUAUCAUACUUAUUUUUACUAAUGUAUAUAUCAUGUUAAAUAAAUAUGAGUUGUACACACAGGUUGCAUUCGAGACUUCUAAAUGAUCUAUGUAUACCCAUGCUUUCAUAUACACCUUGAGAGAGAACAAAAAUAGAGAAAACGAUACAAUAGAAAGCGAGAUAUAGAGAAAAUUAGAUGUUACAUGAGUAUCAAGGAACUAUCUGUGAAAAAAACUUCACCUAUAUGAUAAAAUAGUCAAGACCAUAAUUUCCACAUCCAUAUAUAAAUUUGUUUGGCCUAAUAUAUAGAGCUGUCAAAACGGGCGGCCCGGCCCGUUUAGGCCUGGCCCGGCCGGGCCAAGGGAUUUUAAGGGCCGGGCUAAAAAGCCCGGUUUGAAUAUGGGCUGCAAAAAAUGAGCCCGAUCCCGGCCCUAUACAGGCUCCCGGGCUAACGGGCCGGCCCUGGCCCGUAUUUUUUUCUUCCCUUUUCCAUUCUUUUAAGUACGGAACAUACAUAAAUAUGCCGGGCCAGCCCGGGCCCGUAUCAGUCUCUCACACACACAGAUCACAAAAAAAAAAAAAGUUGUAUUUUUUGCGGGCUUCCGGGCAGCCCGAAGCCCGGACGGGCUAGCCCUAACGAGCCAAGGGCUUUUACGGGCCGAGCUAAAAAGCCCUCUUCAAUUUCGGGCUCCAAUUAUUCGGCCCAAGCCCUACAUUUUAUUCGGGCUUUUGGACCGGCCCUUACGGCCCGGCCUAUUUUGACAGCUCUACUAAUAUAAGACUUUGAUUAAAUAUGUCUGUUCUAAAAACUUCACCUAUAUGAUAUAAUUUUUUUUUCUUUUCUGACAAUUAUUUUGCUUGCAGAUUCUUAUCCUUACAGCCUCAGGAAGUACAUCAAUAACAUUAGGAUGGGCUCUUUCCCUACUUAUAAAUCAUCCAAAGGUCUUAAAACAAGCAAAAGAAGAGUUGGACACAAACAUAGGAAAAGACAAAUGGGUCCAAGAAUCUGACAUCAAAAACCUUAAAUAUCUUCAAGCCAUUAUCAAAGAGACACUUCGUUUAUACCCACCAGCACCCUUAACAGGAAUAAGAGAAGCCACUGAUGAUUGCCACGUGGCAGGCUACAAAGUCACCAAAGGCACUCGUUUGUUUAUUAACCUAUGGAAAUUGCAAAGGGACCCACUAGUAUGGUCCAACCCUAAUAAAUUUCAACCUGAGAGGUUUUUCAAUAUUCAUGAUCAAAUUGAUAAUUUUCAGAAUCAAGAAUUUGGAUAUUUGCCAUUUAGUUAUGGAAGAAGGUCAUGUGCUGGUGCAACGUUUGGAAUGCAAGUCUUGCAUUUGACUUUGGCUAGGUUGAUUCAAGGGUUUGAUAUAAACACAAAAGAUGGUGGUCCAGUUGAUAUGAUUGAAGGAGUAGGAUUGGCAUUGCCUAAGGAAAAUCCACUUGAUGUUAUGCUCCAACCACGUCUCCCAUUGGAACUUUAUGAAAGCCUUUGAUAUUUGUAUCAAGUGUCAAAAGAAAAUAUAAAAUAUAGUUUUUUUUUUCUUUUCUGAUAAAAUAUAUUGUUUGAAUAAUAUGAUAUGAGAUGGGAGCUCAUGAAUAAUCAUAUCUCUAGAAAUAUACAAUAAUGUAAUGUACUUUUUAUUUUGGAAAUGUCUCAAGAUCCACAUGAAUGCUAGAAAUUAUAUAAUACACUAUGUAAGCAUCUUUGGUGUUUAACAAGUGUUGACACAAAGACAGGAAAUCGACAAAUCUAGAUACAUUACAUCACAUAUCUCUUUUAUAAAUUAGUAUAGCUAUUUAUGAGUCAGUGUCGUGCAUGUAUUUGGGGGUGUGAGAAUAAGUCAAGCUACACGAUAGGUAUCUAUAACUUAUUAUCGUCUGAUUCGGUUUUGCCCGUUUAAUAAAAAAAUUAGGUUCAAACACUUUAAAAAAUUUAUUAUUUAAAUAGUUCAGAUUUAAGAUAUUUAAAAAGCCAAUUAGGUAUACAGAAGGAACUACGCGACAACAAUGUUUGCAAUGUUUUGAAGAUUUUUUUUCCCCUAAACACAUUUGGAUUAUAGAAUACCAAAAGGAAACAAUAUUGCAUUAGCACACAACACAUGUAUUCAAAAUCAUGUACAAAUAUAUUUUACAAAUCAACUGAAUAUAUAUAAAUAGGGCUAAUGAACCCAUAAACUCUCAGUAUCAUAGUUUUAAAAUUCGGCUCGGUCAUCGACUCGGCGGGGAUACUGGAUCAAUGGAUCAAUGGUCGAACCACUGAGUCAUUGGUCGAACCGCAUGACUAAAUCGGAACCACUCGGAUGACUCGGUUAGAUAACUCGGUUCUUAGAUUAAAUUUAUAUAGUUAUUUAACCGGAUUAACUCGGAUUGAAUCGGUGACUCGGUCACUUUAGAAACUAAAAUAAUUAAUGAGUGUUGUAAUUUAAAAAAUGUUUACAUUUAAGGACAAAAAUAAAAUCAAAUGGAUGUUUAAAUAUAUGGACGAAGAUAGUAAUACAUAUUCAAAUAAAUAUAGUAAAAUAAAACUAUUCUUUCAAAAAAAAAAAUAUUGUAAAAAAAAUGUUUAUUAAAAUAUUUGAGAUGUCGGACAAUAAUAUUUAAAUGAUAAGAGUGUGCUUGGUUCCUUAAAAUAAAAAAGAGUGUUUGGUUUCCUUUAAAAAAAACUGUUCAGUUAUUAUAUAUAAUUGAUAAGAAGAUCUACACAGCUCAGUGGGUAAAGGGAAUGCAUUGCAAUCUAAGAGACGCGGGUUCAACUCCCUGCACUGCCAUUUUUUGGAAAAUUAAUAUGAUUUAAUUUAUGUUUCACGUUGCCGGUUCACCGUUUUUUCACGAGUUUGGUCGGUUCCGGCUGGUUUGAUUGCAUGACCGAUCCGUUUAUCAACUCGAACCGGUCAUCCCACCGGUUCACGGUCGGACCGGUUCAACCGGCCGGUCCGGUCCAGUUUUCAAAACUAUGCUCAGUAUGUAAAAGAAAAGUUAUGCUUAGUACACAAUAUUUUUUGGCAACUCUUUUGUCUUUACUUCAACAAAUAUUCUGGGAAUCAAACAGAUAAAUGCUUAUCCAAUGCAAGAAAUAAUAUAAAGAAAUAAAGGUCCAAGUGGUAGUUGGUAUUUAUACUAAAAAAGUAGUUCAAGCAUGGUUAAUUUUCCUUGCUUAGUGAAAUACGUGGUAGGGUAAAUAUUAGAACAUAUAUGGCCAUUUUUCUCCGCUCAUUUACUCUCAUUGGUUUCAAGUCACAUCCAAGAAAAAGUAUAUGGCUAAAAUAGUGUCAUACUCAUAUAUAGUAGUUGUUUUUCUAUCCUUGUCCUUUUCGUUAAUCAACUAUCUUCCACACCAAUUUAAUUUUUGAUGCAUUAAUUCUUGAAACCACUAAAAGAAAACAAUGAUAGUUAUCUUCUCAAAAAUCAUGUAACACAUCUUUACUCCCACAAAAAUGGAUAAUUUCUAUACACAACCAGCAACUAUAGUACUAGCUAUACUUUUAGUGCUUCUAUACAACAUAUGGAGGGUAAAAAAACCUAGUAACAAAUUCAAGGGUAUGAAACCACCAGAACCAUCAUAUGCCUUACCUUUAAUAGGUCACCUCCAUCUACUAGGAAACCAAAUCCCUCUUGCAAGAAUCUUUGCUUCAUUUUCAGACAAAUAUGGUCCUAUCUUCCAAAUCCAUUUUGGAGCAUACCCUGCACUUAUUAUUUCCAACAAAGAAGCAAUCAAAGAAUGUUUCACUACAAAUGACAAAAUCUUAGCCUCAAGACCAAAGUCAAGUCAUGGAAUUCACCUAGGUUAUAACUAUGCUGGCUUUGGUUUUGCACCUUAUGGCCCAUAUUGGACCAAGCUAAGAAAAUUAACCAUGCUUGAACUACUUUCGUCUCGUCGCCUUGAAUCGUUGAGACAUGUUUAUGAAUCGGAGAUCGAUACUUUGAUAAAGGAUUUAUCAUUGUAUGUUAAGGUUGGAAAGGUUAAGGUUGUGAUAAGUGAAUGGUUGGAAAGGUUAACAUUUAAUAUAAUGACAAAAAUGAUUUGUGGGAAAAGGUAUUUUGAGUAUUUGAAAGAUGUGGAUGAUGUUGAAGCACAUGGGAAUAUUGUGAAACUUAUAAAAGAAUUUAUGCAUAUUUCUGGUGAGUUUGUUCCUAAGGAUUUGAUUCCAAUUCUUGGUUGGUUUGGUUUUGAAGGAAAAGUGCUAAAAUCUAUGAAAAGAAUUGCUAGAGAUUUGGAUGCAGUUGUUGGAAGCUGGGUUGAAGAGCAUGAUGUUGAGAUUGAGAGUAAGUCAAAUGAGAAAUAUGAUUUCAUUGAUGUUAUGCUUUCUGUGAUUGAAGAUGAUCCUACUUCUGGUCAUAACCGUGAUACUAUCAUCAAGGCAAAUGUUAUGGUAUGCAUUUUCUCUUUGUUCUGAAAUUUGCAAUGUUUUUAUUUAGAAACUAUGAAGCACGGACACAAACACGGAUACGAGACACAAUAUGGACACCGACACAUCGACACGGAUAAUAAUUUGAGAAAAUAAUGUAGUUCAGUGUAAUCAUAGGUGUCGUGUUGAUGUCGGACACGCGUCGAUGUCCGACAUCAAGACACGCCUAAUUCGAGGAGUGUCCGUGCUUCAUACUUCAAGUAAAAUGAAAAUCAGAACAAUUAUUUACAUGCAAAUAACUAAAUUUAACACACAACUUGGUGUAAAAAACAAACUAUUGUAACAUCAUAGCUUAAAAUGUUAUCAAAUAAUUCAGAAAUGGGGAUGGGUUGUUUUUAUUAUUUAAUUUGAACAAAUUAUUAUAAUUAUUAGUCAACAAGUCAACUUUUCAUAUUCAGAAUCUUAUGUUAGCUGGGUCAGACACAACAUCAACGACAAUGACAUGGAUCCUAGCCAUAUUGAUGAAUAAUAUGAAUGCUUUAAAACAUGCACAAGAGGAGAUUGACCAUCACAUAGGUAGGGACAGAAGGGUAGAAUCAUCAGACAUAAAAAACCUAGUUUAUUUGCAAGCAAUUGUGAAAGAAACUUUAAGGUUAUACCCUCCAGGUCCACUAUUAGUACCCCAUGAAGUAACAGAAGAUUGUUACAUUCAAGACUAUUAUGUACCAAAAGGGACACGUGUGUUUGCAAAUGUGUGGAAAUUACAUAGAGAUCCAAGUAUUUGGUUAGAGCCUGAAAAGUUUUUACCUGAAAGGUUUAUUAAUGAGAAUGGAGAAAUUGAUCAUGAAAGUCACCAUUUUGAGUACCUUCCUUUUGGAUUAGGGAGAAGAGCUUGUCCUGGAUCGUUGUUUGCUACACAAGUUAUUCUCAUUACACUUGCUCGUUUACUUCAUGGGUUUGAUUUGGAAGUGCCAAUGGAUGAAGUUGUUGAUAUGAGAGAAGGGUUGGGUAUUACCUUGCCUAAGUUAACUCCAUUGCAAGUUGUUUUGACCCCGCGAUUAUCAUGUGAACUCUAUCGAUUAUAAACAUUUUCCCUUUUGUGUGUGAUCGGAUAUGCUGCUACACAUGUUCAUUGAACAAUGAUGUAUUUGAUCUAUAUUACAAUCUUUUACGUUAGUUAUUCAAUGAAUCUAAAAUACAGAAUCAUGAUUGUUAUCUUUACUCUUUAGUAUAUAUUUGAGACCACAUUGAUUAUACAGAAUCAUGAUUGUUAUCUUUACUCUUUGGUAUGCACGAACGGCCAAACCA